rnacentral:tRNA from 1 species
GCAGGGAAUAGUUUAAGAAGAACUUCAGUUUU